rnacentral:rRNA from 1 species
GACGAACGCUGGCGGCGUGCUUAACACAUGCAAGUCGAACGGUAAGGCCCUUCGGGGUACACGAGUGGCGAACGGGUGAGUAACACGUGGGUGAUCUGCCCUGCACUUCGGGAUAAGCCUGGGAAACUGGGUCUAAUAACGGAUAGCACCACUGCCUGCAUGGGUGGUGGUGGAAAGCUUUUGCGGUGUGGGAUGGGCCCGCGGCCUAUCAGCUUGUUGGUGGGGUGAUGGCCUACCAAGGCGACGACGGGUAGCCGGCCUGAGAGGGUGACCGGCCACACUGGGACUGAGAUACGGCCCAGACUCCUACGGGAGGCAGCAGUGGGGAAUAUUGCACAAUGGGCGCAAGCCUGAUGCAGCGACGCCGCGUGAGGGAUGACGGCCUUCGGGUUGUAAACCUCUUUCAGCACCGACGAAGCGCAAGUGACGGUAGGUGCAGAAGAAGGACCGGCCAACUACGUGCCAGCAGCCGCGGUAA